rnacentral:rRNA from 1 species
GAUCUUGGCUCGGGAUGAACGCUGGCGGCGUGCUUAACACAUGCAAGUCGAGCGAAGCACUUUGCUUUGAUUUCUUCGGGAUGAAGAGCUUGGUGACUGAGCGGCGGACGGGUGAGUAACGCGUGGGUAACCUGCCUCAUACAGGGGGAUAACAGUUAGAAAUGACUGCUAAUACCGCAUAAGGCCACAGCACCGCAUGGUGCAGGGGUAAAAACUCCGGUGGUAUGAGAUGGACCCGCG